AACCAAGGUGAUAAGUGCCUCUAAUUUGUUUCCCUACCUUCACACACAGGUACACAGAGUUGGGCUUGGACAUAGCAAUGCUGAUAUCCUGCCUUGCAGAGCUGUCUCCACUCCGUCUGAUCAAUUACUAAGAAGAAAAUAAAAUCUGCAGCACUUCUGUCUAUUCCUAGGGGAAUGCUGAAGUAUCUCAAAUAAAGUAAAACCAACUCCUUGCUGAAGCAGUGGAUGAAGAAGCUCCAAAACAGCUCUCCUGAAGCUCCUUUCAGUGGGUGGUUGCCCAGCUGUCUUUCCUGAUGCUCUCUGAAAUGCCCAACAAGCCAGGCAUGAAGGGCACCAGAGGAAUGAUCCUCAUCUCCUGGGAACCAGGGAGCUCUCUGCAGCAAGGCAAGGCUGUAGGGAGGCAUCCCUGCUCCCUCCUUGGCUCAGGGAAUACAGCCCUUUAUGGAUCCUCACUGAACGAGGCUGGGAUUUGAAAAGCAAAGCUGAACUUUCCGACCUGAAACCUCAAAUCCUUUUCUGAUGGUUUUUGUAACUGGAAAGCGGAAACAGAGCCUUCAGUAAUUCAAAAGAGAUUUAAUGAUCAAAGCUGCAAUUAAAAGCGUGGUGAGUCAUCUUACAGUCGUCCAUGUGCUAAAACAUCCAGGCUGUGCAAGAGAUCAUGUUGUCAUGGCUGGUUUUACUCAAAACAAGGAUAUAGGAGCUGCUAUUACUUCCAGCUUCAGAAACAAUCUGAGUUCUGCAGACCUGACCUGUGUUUAUAGAGCAGAAGAAAAAGCAACAGUCCUGACUCCCCCAUUUGUGUAUUUUAUUUAGUAGUUCUGUCUGAAACAUCUGAAUUCAUUAUGGUGCUUUAUUACUUUUCGCCUUCUUUCAGAGUGUCUGCUCUCAGUAGGAAUCUUGAUUUUUUUUUUCAUUUACACUAACAAAUUACCCACCAAAACAAAUAUAGAAGAGCUGAUCUUUAGAGUAUUAUGGGUGUUUUUUUGCUUUCUGCAGCAUGCACCAACAAUGAAAUAUUUAACUGAACUUUUCACAGUAUGUGCAUUUUCUCAAAUUAAAAUUGCAAAAGACAAGGAAAUGAAGAUAAAAAUACCCAACCACGUUGCUCCUCAGAAACCCUCACAAGUAAUCUAAUAUUUCUCUUUAAAUCCUGUUGUUUUAUUCUGCUCAAUACAAAAAAUAGUGCUAAAUAGAAUUUGGUUUUAGUAAAGGAGGAACUUCUUCCUAAAAGUGUUUAGCCUGUCACACACAAAAGCCACUAAAAGGAAGCAGAACUGGUAACUCUCUACUGGAGAAAUGUAAAAAAAAAUUGAUAAUUUGCUACCAGUCUUGCUUUCCCUGUUCCUCAGUUUCCUUCCUAGUGGUAGUGAGGUAUUUCAUGUUUUAUUUUCAAUUUCUCAUAAUGGUUGCAAUAUUCAAACUCUAACCCACGUAAUUCUAACCUAGAAUGUGAUUGCCUACUUUGCAAAAAUCACUGCUGUAGCUUUGCUCCUUCAGGUUUAUUUGUAAAACAAGAUUUUUUAUCUUGCCAUUUUUGACAUCAGGUGCCUCCAGUCAGUGACAGAUAGAUGAAAAUAAAUGCCAGCUUUUACGAGAAUCCCAAAAGGAACAUCUAAUGUAAAAUAUAAUGCAAUCAAAUAAAUUGGUGCUUUCUUCCCCAGCUUUAUCUGAAAAGAGACCUGCUCUUUAUGCUGAGACAAAAUAGGUUAUCAGAUCUAGCAAA